GUUGUGACUUGCUCUAGAGGAUAUACUUCCAAGAUGGCUCACUCACAUAACAAGUCAGUGCUGACUGUUUGCUGGGAACUCAACUGAACCUGUCAGCCAGGGGUCUUGAUUAUUCUCCACAUGAGCCUCUCCACAUGGUUGCUUGGGCUUCCUCACAACAUGGUGGCUGGAUUUCAAGAGUCCCUCCACAUUGCACUUUGAAAAAGCAGUUCUCUCAAGAGAUAUAAUGAAGGAUAUUGGAAUGGCAUGCCCUGGGAAGCUGCUCUUGGCCCGGUCUUCAGAAGCACUCAUGUGCAGAGUUAUUCCUUUAGGAAAGUUACAUAUCAGCAGAGGUCAUCAGCCAGAUAAAAUCCAAGGAAUAACCAGGCACUUGAAGCAGAGAGCAGAGAAGUGGUGAAGGUCAAGUGACUAUUUACUGAUGAUGUUGGAAACGUCUUUGACAGUUGCUGCUUCUCAAGCUGAAGGCAGGAGUCAUGUUGAUACAAAACACUAUUACAACUCUUCUUGAAAAGAAGAAAAAGAUUUUCACAAAUGCUUCCCUUCUCGUUUAUUGUCACUACCGUUUUUCCCCAGACUACUCUCAUUCUCGGCCCACGUAGGAAAUCAGAAGAUAAUUUAAAAUUAAAUGAUGAUGGCUCAGAGCUUCAAGCACUUAAAAAGAGAGAGGAAAGAAACGCAUCACAUCUUGACAGGGCUGCGAGUGAGGGCUGGAAGACUGCCAAGGAAGCCCAGAAGAGCCAUUGGCAAGAGGGGCUUUGGUACUUUGUGUGACCAGAGGGGACCUGUGCGACAUUCUCCCUCAUGCCCUGGGAUGGGCAUUUGAAGUCAUGAAAACCUAGGGAAGAGUUGAGAAAUAAUGGAAAGCAGGUGUACACAGAGCAUUAGUGAGUUGGGAAAAUCAGGUUGAACGCUUGAUUUACUAGUUACCGUCUUGUAAUAUAAACUUUCUAGGCAUUUCUUCCUGUACCUAAAAUAGCCUCACAGAAUAUGAAGAAAUAAAAUAAAAUUAUAUGUAUGUAUACACACAUAUACUUAUAUCCAUAUAUAUAUAUCCAUAUAUAUAUAUAUCCAUAUAUAUAUAUAUAUAUACAUACACCUAUAUAUGUGCAUGUGAUGUGUAUAUAUCACACACCCCACAUGCACAUAAUUUUUAAUCAGUACAGGGGUUGACAUAUAAAACACUUCUUCUAGUAAUGGUAUUAACUAUUUUUAUUAUAGGAUGUAAAGCCAGCUCUUCAGCUUACUUUAGCAUGAGUUCUACUUGCCCAUAUGUGAUGAUAUGCAAAUCACAAAAAGGGCCCUCCCGUUUAGCAUUUUCCAUAUCUUUGCGAGGUUCUCUGACUGUUAGAAGUAAAAAAAGCAUAGGUGUCAGAGUCUGACAAGUCAGAAUUCAAAUUUGUGCUCUGCCACUCACGAGCCAUAAAACCUGGGACACGUUACCUUUCUGGGUCUCAGAGUCCACAUCUGGAUAAUGGCGUUAUUUAUUAUUUCACACCAUGGCUGGGAAUUUUAAUGAGGUGAAAAGUAUGUAACAGUGCUGAGCAGAUUGCCUGGCAUAUAACAUACACUAAAUCAGGGGUUGGCAGACUUCUGCCCAGGACCAGAUAGUAAAUAUUUUAGGCUGUGCAGGCCUAACUACUCAAGUUAGUCAUCAUAGCAUGAAAGCAGCCAGAGACAAUAUGUAAAAGAAUGAGUGUGGCUGUGUUCCAAUAAAACUUUAUUUAAAAAAGACCUGUGGGUCACUCUGGGCCUGUGAUCUGUAGUUUGCAAAUCCAAGCACUUAACCAAUAUUAGUUUCUUCCUCUUUCCCCACUUGUCUUCUCGGAGAUUUAGGUUUUCCAUAUGUGUAAUGUUGAAAAUGUUAGUUUAUUUAUUCAGCAUCUGUUGUGUACCAAGGACCGCAUAAAGCACAAUGAAGAACAGAAUGAAUAAAUUUUGCUUUUACCCGUGAGGGGCUUAAGGAAUAACAGAAAAUGUUUAACUUAUCUAAGUUUGGUCUUUCUUCUUAGCCAGAAAGUGAUUUAAAAGUAUUUAUUUCAUGGAGCUUUCAUGACAAAGAAUUAUGUUUAAGUGUAGAUGCAGUGGCAGCCAUCGUGGAAAAACGGUUAUGGGACUUAGCCUUUCUUCUCUGAAGAACUGUAAAACUGGGCAAAGUGUAUGAAUAAACUGUUUUCAGACGUUGGACAACAGAUAGCACAGGACUGCGAUGCUUGAGAUAGGGAAAACACCAUAUUUUACUACAGCUUUCUGCCUGGGGCCACCAUCCAAACCUCAGCUCAAAUAAGUGAAGCCCAAAUGAAAACAAGUUGAGCCCAAUUUUUUUAAAAAGUGUGUUUGUUUCUUUUUGAGCAGUGGUAUCACUGACUAGAGGCAGGAGAGAGUAGAGUUUGGGGCUGCUGAUGUAGCAGGAAGUUACAGAUCAGGGUACUGAGGAGUAGACAGAUACAUAAGAUGGCUUCAGAAAUCUGCAUCAGGGUCUCCUUGAGUUUUGGGGUGAAGAGAAAGCUGGGUAUGCAUAGAUCAAGAUUCAGUAAGAUGAGGCAGAAAAUAGCUAUUGGAUAACUGAACUGAGCAGAAUCUUGGAGGUUGCAUAGUACAGGAAGAUGGAGUUACACCAUCCAACGUGGAGGGACCUCAUAAACACCCUGGGCAUUCAGUUGAGACCCCUCAAAAUGUAUAACUGAAGAGUAGGGCUACUCUAGAUUCAUCAUUAAAAAAGCUUAAAACCAAACCCUGAUAGAAUAAAGCUGAUCUGUCAAUAAAUUAAAUGCCAUAACAAAAUACAAUAGUCUUAAAAUUCAGACUUCUAUAACAGCAUAGAAUCCAUAAUUGAGUAUACAUAAUAUAUGAGAAGAUAUGCAAGGAAGUAGGAAAAUGUGACACUUAAGUAGGAGAAAAAUGAGUCAAUAGCAACAGACCCAGAAAUAAGCACAGAUCUUGAAAUCAGCCGAUCUGUUGCUCUUUUUUUUUUUCUUUUGCCACACCCACCUCCCUUCCAGUGCCCGAUCCCUAACCCCUAGCAACCACUAACCUGUUCUCUAUUUCUAUGAUUUUUUUCAUCGCAAGAAUAUAAUAAAUUAAAUUACAUAGUAGUCAACCUUUGGGGAUUUGCUUUUUGCACUUGAUUUAAUUCCCUGGAGAUACAUUCAAGUUGUUGCAUGUAUUGAUAAUUUGUUCCUUUUAUUACUGAGUAAUAGUCUAUAAUGUGGAUGUAUCAUUGUUUGUUUCACUGCUCAUCCAUCGAAGGGCCUCUGGAUUGUCCCCACUUUUUGGCUAUUACAAAUAAAUCUAUGUACAUAUGUG